CAGACGCCGUCGUCAUAGCCGAAGGGGUGGCAACUGGUUCUUAUCUUGCCGCCAUCUUUCUUAGUUUUGUUGUAGAGAAAGUGGAUUAGCCAAAUGAUUAAGAUUAGCAAGAAAACUGCCAUAAAGACUAUAAACAUAAUCAUUUUCCCCAUCGAUGAUCGAUCUAUUAGUUUUUCUCUCUUCUUUUAAUUAAUUCAUAC